UACAGAGGUCUCAAGCGUUGUUCGGAUUCAUUGGACGUAAAGGGUGCGUAGGCGGCGCGGUAAGUCGGGUGUGAAAUCUCGGAGCUUAACUCCGAAACUGCAUUCGAUACUGCCGUGCUUGAGGACUGGAGAGGAGACUGGAAUUUACGGUGUAGCGGUGAAAUGCGUAGAUAUCGUAAGGAAGACCAGUGGCGAAGGCGGGUCUCUGGACAGUUCCUGACGCUGAGGCACGAAGGCCAGGGGAGCAAACGGG
rnacentral:rRNA from 1 species